AUACGGAGGGUGCAAGCGUUAAUCGGAAUUACUGGGCGUAAAGCGUACGUAGGCGGUUCGUUAAGUUAGAUGUGAAAGCCCCGGGCUUAACCUGGGAACUGCAUUUAAAACUGGCGGACUAGAGUUAAGUAGAGGGGAGUGGAAUUUCAGGUGUAGCGGUGAAAUGCGUAGAGAUCUGAAGGAACACCAGUGGCGAAGGCGACUCCCUGGACUUGAACUGACGCUGAGGUACGAAAGCGUGGGUAGCAAACGGGAUUAGAUACCCCAGUAGUCC
rnacentral:rRNA from 1 species